GACGAACGCUGGCGGCGUGCCUAAUACAUGCAAGUAGGACGCAGUUGCGAACGGGUGAGUAACGCGUAGGUAACUGCCUAUUAGAGGGGGAUAACUAUUGGAAACGAUAGCUAAUACCGCAUACUAGUAGAUGGACCUGCGUUGUAUUAGCUAGUAUGUAGGGUAAUGGCCUACCUAGGCAACGAUACAUAGCCGACCUGGGGAGGAGGACGGACAAAAUGGGAAUGGAACACGGCCCCGGCUUCUACGGGAGGGAGCAGUAGGGAAUGAGCGGCAAUGGGGGGAACCCUGGCCGAGCAACGGCGCGUGAGUGGAGAAAGGUUUCGGAUAGUAAAAAUCGGUUGAUAAGGAAGCGGUACUUAAACAGAAAGGGACGGCUAACUACGUGCCAGCAGCCGCGGUAAUAC
rnacentral:rRNA from 1 species